UUGCUCGCCAGAAACCCAACAAGGCUGGCAGACAGUUGUUACCAUGCAACGAGCAGACGCUUGCGAAAAGUACUAGCUACAAAAUUGGCAAAAUUGCCUGCUGCUGUAUACAUAGCGCGCGUGUGUGUAUGUUGCUAACCUAGCUAGUUAGCUAGCCAUCAAUAAAGUUCCCAAUGUUACAACAUGGCAGACGGCUGGAGCACCGACACCGGAGAGGCUGCCUAUCGUUCCCGGGAUGCUGUCAAAAACCUUACAAUUAAGAUCCGUAUUCAGAGAGCCACCUCCACAGCAGCCCUCUCCCAACACCUUCAGCAGCAGGUUUGGACUCAACAGGAGAGGGGAGGCAUUGAGCUGGACACCCUCAACUCACAGGCUCAAUCAGUGGGUUUGUUCCAGAGUGAGUCAGUAUGCCAGACUCCGCUGGAGAGACAAUACCACACAGAGAUCAUGGCUCAGGAGCGGACCAGGGGCAGAUGGAACUGCAGGAAUUUCACCUACACCGAUUCUGACUGCUACACCAAUUGAGAAGGGGUGGUUUUCAACAGAAUCUCCAUUUCUGUAACGGUUCUGUAACCAAAGACGCUGGGAGUCAGGAAGCAAGUAUAGAGGGAGGAUUUAUUAAUAAAUAGACAUGAAACUAGAGACGAACAGUGUCUGGACAAGAGAAACAAAACAACAACAAUGCAGACAUGGGAAUGAAACUGAGGAAGUGACAGAUAUAGGGGAGGUAAUCAAUGACGUGAUGGAGUCCAGGUGAGUCCGAUGAAGCGCGGGUGCGCGUAAAAAUGGUGACAGUUGUGCGUAAUGAUGAGCAGCCUGGCGACCUCGAGCGCCAGAGAGAGGGAGCUGGAGCAGACGUGACAAUUUCAUUAUUCAAAACAAAGCAUUUACCUAUUUUCUGUCCAAAAGAAACAUUAGUGUUUUAAAGCUGUUUUUGAUGUCCUCACUACAGCAUUCCCAGAGUAUGGUGACGCAGGUCAAGUCCAAUCCUACCUUACUGGCACAUAGGAUGGCCAAUGUCAGACACAGACGACAGGACAGACACCCAGUUGACCGCACCAUCCCCAAGUCCAGGCUGAUUACCUGGGACCCCUCUGAGGACUUUGUGAAGACCAGCCACAUGGUCAACACACCUGUACAGACCAUACACAUCAUGGGGAACCUGGGACCAGCGGGCAAACUUGGCCAAAAGGAGAAGGAAUGCUUGUUGUGCACGAUAAGAGCAGAUGGAAAUGGAGUGGUUACCAUCAAACCAGACUUCAACAAAGGCAAGGUGCCCUACAGGCCAGUGACCCGCACCUGCUGAAGUCAAAAUGUUUUACCCCUAGCUCAAGUUGAGACGGAGGGGGAGAAGAGGGAGGUGUGGCGUCAGACCAGAGGAGACGGAACAGCAACAGUGCAUAUAUAGACCGUUAUGUACGUCAUAAAGACUACCUCAACAGCUUGGUUGGCCAGGACUGAAAUGGCAAGCCUGGGAAAGAACUGAGAAAACGUACUAAAGAGUCAAGACAGACACCAGAAAGAGGCCCAAGAAGACUUGGAUGCAGGAACAGAGGACAGCGAGGGAUGUUCAGAACUCACUCAGUCCGGUUUGGAGAAUGACUUCUCAACCCAAGACUAAGAGCAGCUGUAAGAAAGCAUCAGUUUGGAAGCAUUUGGGAAAAUGUAAAGUGCUAAAGAAGGUUCCCGGCAAAGAGGAUUGACUGUUAUGGGUCAGAGCCAGCUCUCACAAACAGCACAUGGAAAGACAUGAAAACCUGG